rnacentral:rRNA from 1 species
UGGGGAAUAUUGCGCAAUGGGGGCAACCCUGACGCAGCAACGCCGCGUGCGGGAUGAAGGCUUUCGGGUUGUAAACCGCUUUCAGCAGGGAAGAUGCAAGACGGUACCUGCAGAAGAAGCCCCGGCUAACUACGUGCCAGCAGCCGCGGUAAUACGUAGGGGGCGAGCGUUAUCCGGAUUCAUUGGGCGUAAAGCGCGCGCAGGCGGACCGUUAAGCGGGACCUCUAACCUUGGGGCUCAACCUCAAGCCGGGUCCCGAACUGGCGCAGUCUCGAGUUCGGUAGGGGAGGUCGGAAUUCCCGGUGUAGCGGUGGAAUGCGCAGAUAUCGGGAAGAACACCGAUGGCGAAGGCAGACCUCUGGGCCGCAACUGACGCUGAGGCGCGAAAGCUAGGGGAGCGAACAGG